UACGGAAGGCAGCAGUGGGGAAUAUUGCACAAUGGGCGAAAGCCUGAUGCAGCUAUGCCGCGUGUAUGAAGAAGGCCUUAGGGUUGUAAAGUACUUUCAUCGGGGAGGAAAAAACAAAACUAAUAAUUUUAUUUCUUGACGUUACCCGAAAAAGAAGCACCGGCUAACUCCGUGCCAGCAGCCGCGGUAAUACGGAGGGUGCUAGCGUUAAUCAGAAUUACUGGGCGUAAAGAGCACGUAGGUGGUUUUUUUAAAGUCAGAUGUGAAAUCCCUGGGCUUAACCUAGGAACUGCAUUUUGAAACUGAAAUACUAGAGUAUCGUAGAGGGAGGUAGAAUUCUAGGUGUAGCGGUGAAAUAGCGUAGAUAUCUGGAGGAAGUAACCUGUGGCGAAAGACGGCCUCCUAAACCGGAAUACUGACACUGAGGUGCGAAAGACGUGGGGAGGCAAACAGGGAUUAGAU
rnacentral:rRNA from 1 species